UAUGUUGCGCUUUGCCACCAUGUUUUCCUUUAAAGUAGUAAGCAUUUAGGACCCCCCCCCUCAUCACAUGGCAAAAAGCCAGAUAAAGUAGAAGCACAGAUUAUUACUAUAACCUAGUAUUCUUGUUCUUUUUGAAUUAGAAGAUGCAUCUCCUGGAGACCAGAAGCUGAAUGCCUCGAUGAGACCACUCUUCACGCUACCUAUCCUAUACGAUCACAUCACCGGUCAAAGGUACGUACCUCAUUUUAUUUUACGCACUGCACUCAUUAUAAUUGGUUCGAUAAAAGUUCUUAUUUAUUCACACCAGCUUAUCUUUGAUUCGAGUUUUAUGUAAAGUUUCGACCCUUAAUUAUGGUGCAUUAAUCAUAUUGAAGUCGAGCUAUAGGUUUUCUUAAGAUGUACCGAGUGCAGGAAAUUUAAGCGUCCAAGCCAUCGACGCUGUGAUUAUUGAGUGGUUCUCGGACGUGUACGUAUCACUUCACUUUUACUUGGAGUGUUCAAUGAUCAAUCAUGAUCGGGACCCACAAAUGGGACAGGAAUUGGACCAGUCACCUUAUCCCAUUUCGUGACGUUGCAGCAAGCCAAUGGGAUGAUUCGUGGGCGUGUAAAGCGGUUGCUAUUGGAUCAAGUGGCGGUGGGAUAUGUGCUUGCGUGGCGAGCUUGGCUACGAGUGCCGUGGAUGAACAAACCGCAACACAUGUAUGGUACAAUAUCACCAAAUAAUAGAAGCCAUGGUGAAAUGGUGCAAAUGGAAAGAGGAGCAGGAGAAGCACCACGUGAAGCAGGAAAGUAAGGCAAAGGUAAACCAAGAUGGGAGUAAAUACAUAGAAAUGGAGAUUACCC